CCUACGGGAGGCAGCAGUGAGGAAUAUUGGUCAAUGGACGAGAGUCUGAACCAGCCAAGUAGCGUGAAGGAUGACUGCCCUAUGGGUUGUAAACUUCUUUUAUAUGGGAAUAAAAUGUUCCACGUGUGGGAUUUUGUAUGUACCAUAUGAAUAAGGAUCGGCUAACUCCGUGCCAGCAGCCGCGGUAAUACGGAGGAUCCGAGCGUUAUCCGGAUUUAUUGGGUUUAAAGGGAGCGUAGGUGGAUUGUUAAGUCAGUUGUGAAAGUUUGCGGCUCAACCGUAAAAUUGCAGUUGAAACUGGCAGUCUUGAGUACAGUAGAGGUAGGCGGAAUUCGUGGUGUAGCGGUGAAAUGCUUAGAUAUCACGAAGAACACCGAUUGCGAAGGCAGUUCACUGGACUGCAACUGACACUGAGGCUCGAAAGUGUGGGUAUCAAACAGGAUUAGAUACCCUAGUAGUC
rnacentral:rRNA from 1 species